GCCUGGGUGGCUCAGUUGGUUGAGCGUUCGACUUCGGCUCACAUCCUGAUCUCACGGUCCGUGAGUUCAAGCCCCGCCUUGGGCU
rnacentral:tRNA from 1 species